CCUACGGGGAGCAGCAGUGGGGAAUAUUGGACAAUGGGCGAAAGCCUGAUCCAGCCAUGCCGCGUGUGUGAAGAAGGCCUUCGGGUUGUAAAGCACUUUCAGUGGGGAAGAAAGCCUUGGGGCUAAUACCCUCGAGGAUGGACAUCACCCACAGAAGAAGCACCGGCUAACUCCGUGCCAGCAGCCGCGGUAAUACGGAGGGUGCGAGCGUUAAUCGGAAUUACUGGGCGUAAAGCGCGCGUAGGCGGUCUGAUAAGCCGGUUGUGAAAGCCCCGGGCUCAACCUGGGAACGGCAUCCGGAACUGUCAGGCUAGAGUGCAGGAGAGGAAGGUAGAAUUCCCGGUGUAGCGGUGAAAUGCGUAGAGAUCGGGAGGAAUACCAGUGGCGAAGGCGGUCUUCUGGACUGACACUGACGCUGAGGUGCGAAAGCGUGGGUAGCAAACAGGAUUAGAUACCCCGGUAGUC
rnacentral:rRNA from 1 species